UAGAGUUUGAUCCUGGCUCAGAACGUACGCUGGCGGCACGCCUAACACAUGCAAGUCGAACGAAGUAGCAAUACUUAGUGGCAGACGGGUGAGUAACAUGUAGGUAUCUGCCCUUUGGCCUGGAAUAACACGAGGAAACUUGUGCUAAUACUGGAUAAGUCUUUACGGAGAAAGCUUUAUGCACCAUUGGAUGAGCCUGCACUUGAUUAGUUUGUUGGUGGGGUAAUGGCCUACCAAGACUGUGAUCAAUAGCUGAUUUGAGAGGAUGAUCAGCCACAUUGGGACUGAGACACGGCCCAAACUCCUACGGGAGGCAGCAGUGGGGAAUCUUGCACAAUGGAGGAAACUCUGAUGCAGCGAUGCCGCGUGAGUGAAGAAGGCCUUUGGGUUGUAAAGCUCUUUCGUCGGGGAAGAAAAUGACUGUACCCGAAUAAGAAGGUCCGGCUAACUUCGUGCCAGCAGCCGCGGUAAUACGAAGGGACCUAGCGUAGUUCGGAAUUACUGGGCUUAAAGAGUUCGUAGGUGGUUGAAAAAGUUAGUGGUGAAAUCCCAGAGCUUAACUCUGGAACUGCCAUUAAAACUUUUCAGCUAGAGUAUGAUAGAGGAAAGCAGAAUUUCUAGUGUAGAGGUGAAAUUCGUAGAUAUUAGAAAGAAUACCAAUUGCGAAGGCAGCUUUCUGGAUCAUUACUGACACUGAGGAACGAAAGCAUGGGUAGCGAAGAGGAUUAGAUACCCUCGUAGUCCAUGCCGUAAACGAUGUGUGUUAGACGUUGGAAAUUUAUUUUCAGUGUCGCAGGGAAACCGAUAAACACACCGCCUGGGGAGUACGACCGCAAGGUUAAAACUCAAAUGAAUUGACGGGGACCCGCACAAGUAGUGGAGCAUGUGGUUUAAUUCGAAGAUACGCGCAGAACCUUACCAACACUUGACAUGUUCGUCGCGACUCUAAGAGAUUAGAGUUUUCGGUUCGGCCGGACGAAACACAGGUGCUGCAUGGCUGUCGUCAGCUCGUGUCGUGAGAUGUUGGGUUAAGUCCCGCAACGAGCGCAACCCUCACUUUUAGUUGCCAUCAUUAAGUUGGGCACUCUGAAAGAACUGCCAGUGAUAAGCUGGAGGAAGGUGGGGAUGACGUCAAGUCCUCAUGGCCCUUACGUGUUGGGCUACACACGUGCUACAAUGGUAUCUACAACAGGAAGCAAGACUGCGAAGUUAAGCAAAUCCCUAAAAGAUACCUCAGUUCGGAUUGCACUCUGCAACUCGAGUGCAUGAAGCUGGAAUUACUAGUAAUCGUGGAUCAGCGUGCCACGGUGAAUGCGUUCCCGGGUCUUGUACACACCGCCCGUCACACCAUGGGAGUUGGUUCUACCUUAAGGCAAGGUUUCAAACCCUUGACCACGGUAUAGUCAGCGGCUGGGGUGAAGUCGUAACAAGGUAACCAAUCGAAU
rnacentral:rRNA from 1 species